UCUUCUUUCUCAGAUGCGAGAAGGUAACAGCUGAUAAAUCUAUCUGUCCUUUCCCAUUUUACAAGGUGCAUCUAAGCACUUCCUUUUUUUGUGUACCAGCAUUCUCAGAAAUGAUAACAUCAUAACCAUAAGCUAAUUGUUAUAAUCUGUGUUUUGGGUACCGCAUCCACCAUGAAGCAAAAAAUCUAGUUGAUUUAUAGAAAAUAUAAAUGGAAAGUUAAUAGACUGAUUAUCCUAGAGAAAUUUUUAUAUUCAUUUACAAAUCUGUUGAAAUGGCCUAUGAUAAUUAAUGAUUUGCCUAAAUUUUUUCUACCAUUGAAAAUAUUUAAAAUUUAUCCUUGCUAAAUCUUGUCAUAAGGAGGCCUAGUAUGAUUCUAAGGUUUGCUCGAAUGAGGCAAUUGUCUAGUUGAUGAAAGUCCAUCAUUUUCUUCAAUAGAAGCAUACUGAUUAAUUUGAAUCUUGUGCAUAUUUUAGUGCACAUUUGUGCAUCCGCAUUAGCCUUAAGGUGAAACAUAUAAAUCCCAACACCUGCUAAGCUGGCUUGUAAAGCCUUAUAGCAGGUUUGUGUAAUGAAUACUAGUAAGGAG
rnacentral:misc_RNA from 1 species